rnacentral:rRNA from 1 species
GACGCUGGCGGUGUGCUUCACACAUGCAAGUCGAACGAGGUAGCAAUACCUAGUGGCGGACGGGUGAGUAACGCGUGGGAAUCUGCCUUUAGAUGGGGGAUAACGGGUCGAAAGACUCGCUAAUACCGCAUAUGACGAAAGUUGAAAGGAGUAAUCCGUCUAAAGAUGAGCCCGCGUCCGAUUAGCUAGUUGGUAGAGUAAAAGCCUACCAAGGCGACGAUCGGUAGCUGGUCUGAGAGGAUGAUCAGCCACAAUGGGACUGAGACACGGCCCAUACUCCUACGGGAGGCAGCAGUGGGGAAUUUUACGCAAUGGGCGAAAGCCUGACGUAGCGACACCGCGUGAGCGAAGAAGCCCCUUGGGGUGUAAAGCUCUGUCAGCUGGAACGAAAAAAUGACGGUACCAGCAGAGGAAGCAUCGGCUAACUACGUG